CCUACGGGAGGCAGCAGUAGGGAAUCUUCCACAAUGGGCGAAAGCCUGAUGGAGCAACGCCGCGUGAGUGAUGAAGGCCUUCGGGUUGUAAAACUCUGUCAUUCGGGACGAACCGGAGUCUGAGGAAAUGCAGACUCUCUGACGGUACCGGAGGAGGAAGCCCCGGCUAACUACGUGCCAGCAGCCGCGGUAAUACGUAGGGGGCAAGCGUUGUCCGGAUUCACUGGGCGUAAAGCGCGCGCAGGCGGUGAUGUAAGUCUGAGGUGAAAACCCGAAGCUCAACUUCGGGACUGCCUUGGAUACUGCGUCACUUGAGGAUAGGAGAGGCAAGGGGAAUUCCACGUGUAGCGGUGAAAUGCGUAGAGAUGUGGAGGAACACCUGUGGCGAAGGCGCCUUGCUGGCCUAUUUCUGACGCUGAGGCGCGAAAGCGUGGGGAGCAAACAGGAUUAGAUACCCUGGUAGUCCACGCUGUAAACGAUGAGUGCUAGGUGUAGGUGGGCUCAUACCCAUCUGUGCCGAAGCUAACGCAUUAAGCACUCCGCCUGGGGAGUACGGUCGCAAGACUGAAACUCAAAGGAUUGACGGCUUGGACGNGCGACGACGACGACGACGGAGGGAGGAG
rnacentral:rRNA from 1 species